UUGCGAUCAACUCAAAUCUGCGACCAAUAGUAACAGAUUCACAGGCUAGUUCCAUAAGAAACAUUUAAAGAUGCAGUUAAUGGCGUUAUUAAAAAAUCGUGGAUCCUAGGAAUACCAGGCAACGAUUCAACAUAUGCGAUUUGGGUGAGUCUCAGUGUGAAAUACAGCGCAUUCGAAUGGUUGAUUGGUGAUACGCGUUUAAUGCAGCAGGCAUUAGGAACCUUGGCGAAAAGUCGCGCAGAGUUUGGUUCUCCUUUGGUGACGUCAAAUAACGUAAUAUUGUGUGUAUAUGGAAGAGCUUCAUUAUAUGUUGUUCCUAAAAAUUUAUUGAAUUGUUCAUAAUUGCAGAUAGAAAUUUUGAUGUAUGCAGUUGGCCAAUUACAUUGUAUUUUCAGUGUCUUUGCCUAAAUACGAUCCAACAACACUAUGGUUGCAACAAUUAUGCUAAUUGUUCGUUUAAUGGCCAUGUAUAAAUAAAGAACAGUUUUUGCAGUCACUUCAAUCCAGAACAAAAAAUAUAUCACAAAAUGUUGGGUGAACACUUUGAACAACAGAUGGACCAACUUUUUGUAUAACAUUUGCGGACGAGCAUUUAGCUACUUUCACCAACGCGGAGGCUUUUAAGACAUUAAUGGGUAUGAAUGGCACAAAUAGUCAGGGCAUUGCGACGAGUCCGUUUGCGGAAUGAGUGAAAAAAGUGAGCGAUUUACCAAUGCCUCAAGAUGAUAAGACAAAGCUUGACGAAUAUAUUAAUGAUAUUUACAAUAAAGUUGGAUAAUGUAAGUCGUUGAAGUCGCUGACGAAUGUCUCAACACUAAAGUAGCUGGACUUUACCUACUUCAAAGCAAUAUUAAUCACAGUUGUAGCGGCAGCACUUAUAGAAGUUGGUGAAGAAAUUUGCUCAUUCUUCACUUAGCUUUUCACCGUUAUUUCGAAUGUUUCAAAACUUGGAUUAUAUAUGGCCGAAAGUCCUCUAUUUUGGUGGAAGUUUAUGGUGAGCAUGCACUAGCUGAGCUUGAGGGCUAAAAGUGGUGUGCACGAUUUAAAAGUGGUGAUUUGGACUUAAUGGACUAAAAACGUCCUGGGCGGCCUUACUCGCUUUAGAUUGCAGUGCAUAAGAAACUCCCACAGAAUCUUUGGGAGUCACUCAGGCAGCCAUAUCAAAGGGUUUAAAUGCUGUUUGAACGCAACAGAAAUAACUAAGUUUUGCGUGUUUGUGACUGGUGAUGAGGAAUGGAUCCAUAAAGGCAAAAAUCAUAGGUGAAACUUUACCAAUCAGCCAAAGUCGAGUUUGAAUGAUUUAUUCAACUUACUCAAUACUAAUAGUUCUAAAUUAAUUUGAAAAAUUAUUUGUAAAUUUUGCAAAGUAUAACAAUAUAAAUUAUAUAUAAACAAUACAUAAGCUUUCUACAAAAAAAAAAAAAUAAUGUUAAUACACCAAAUACCAUAAAUACUUAAAUGCUGCGAAACAAUUGACUGUAAGAAAGAAAAUUCAGUUUGUAAUGUAUAUGUAUAUACAUAUAUACAUAUGUAUAUAUAUGUUAAUAUUUAAAAGUUAAUCUAGAACAAUUACCAAAAAAUUGUAUAAAAUGAUUGUAAGAAGGAAAAUUCAAACUGUAAUGUAUAUAUAUAAAUGGUGACAUUUAGAAGCUAAAACUAAAUCUGAAAAUUUGUAAAAAUGGAAAGGAAAAAUACAAUUGUUAUGUAUAAACAUGAAAACUUCAAAAAAAUAAUUAAUUAAAAAGAAAUAAAAUAAAAAUUAUAAUUGUUUUAUUUAUAAGGAAAAUUAUGACUGUUACGAUAGGCAGUGGUAACCAUUGAAUAACCAAACAAAUAACCAGUAGCAGGUGGCACGAUGACCAUUGCACCAGUUUUCUGUGACCAAUGAAUAGCGAAACAAAUAACUU